CCGGGUAAUGUUUGACAGCGAUAGGAAUCAACAAACUGACUACUUAUGUCACAAUAGUUUAAACGAGGUGGUUCUCCAGUUCAGAAAAAUACAGGGAGGAGCUUUACAAUUGGACAGUAGCAAUUUUGACAGUAUCAUAGGUAGUAAUGAACUGGUCUUUAUAAAUUUUUAUGCAGACUGGUGUCGUUUUAGUAACAUAUUAGCACCCACAUGGGACGAGACUGCCGAUAAGGUUCGAGAAGCAUUCCCAGACAAUGGUCGAGUUGUCAUUGGAAAAGUUGACUGUGAUGCAGAAUCAAGUAUUGCUUCACGCUUUCACAUUACCAAGUACCCAACACUGAAGCUUCUACGCAACGGCCAGGCUUCAAAACGGGAGUACCGAGGUCAGAGAUCUGCCGAAGCAUUUGCGUCCUUCAUAAAGGAGCAGUUACGGGACCCUAUAAAAAUUAUUGAAAGCCUAGAUGAAACACAAAAUUUAGAGGAAACAAAGAGGACUGUGAUAGGGUAUUUUGAGCGGCAGGAUGUUCCAGAGUUUGAGGUAUUCCGGAAGGUAGCGCUCAAUCUGAAAGAUGACUGUCAGUUCCUAGCAGGGUUUGGGGAUACAGUGCGAAGCAUGCAUCCUCCGGGGGAAAACAUCAUUGCAUUUAAGGCUUCAAUAACCAAAGAAGACGAUGCUUUCACAGGCUCUCUCCUAUCUUAUGAUGAGGUCUCUAUUUGGGCCACAGAGCGAUGCAUUCCACUUGUACGGGAAAUUACGUUCCAGAAUGCUGAAGAAUUAACAGAAGAAGGGCUGCCUUUCCUGAUACUUUUCCAUGCUCCAGAUGAUACUGAGAGCAUGAAGAAAUACUCAGCACUUGUGCAAGCAGAACUCACUGAUGAAAAACAAAAUGUGAACUUCCUGACAGCAGAUGGCGUACAGUUCGCACAUCCCCUUCAUCACUUGGGCAAGUCCAAGAAGGACUUGCCACUCAUUGCUAUUGACUCCUUCAGGCACAUGUAUCUCUUCCCGGAUUACAGCGAGGCAUAUGUUCCGGGGAGAAUGAAGUCAUUCUUAGCUGACCUAUAUAGUGGAAAACUUCACCGGGAGUUUCAUUACGGUCCUGAUCCAGAAACUACAGAGGACCCUGCACAGAUUGAAGACAAGUCUCAAACAGACGAGACAAACGUCAAGAAGGAGAAGCCCACCACGCCUCCGGAGUCGACCUUCAAGAAGCUGGCGCCCUCUAAGAACAGAUACACGUUACUUGAUAAAGAUGAACUGUAAGAGUAAGGCAUCAGAAGUAAUGUUUAAGCUUUCAGAUAUUUUAACUUGGGGGUCAUUUUGUGCUUUUAGGGAAUACUUGGAAUUAUAAAUCAUUGGGAAUAAUGCCUAAAUAAUUUGAUAAUUUAUUAAACACGUUGGGGGUUUGCUUUAAUAAAGGUUAGGGGUUAGUUAACUAUUAAUCUAACACGAGGAUAAGAAUGACCAAAAGUGAUGUUGAGUGUAUCAGGUAUUGUGGAAAAAAAGGAUUUUAAGCCAUGUUAAACAUGUAUGAGAGGAACUAGGCACUUGUUUAUAAUUUAAUUACAAAUGACAUGUACAAAAGAAGUUUUCAAUCAAAACUGAUGGAUUGGAAAGAGCAGAAUAAAUGAUGGUAGUCUUUUGACAAUAUUAUGUUUGUUUUCAUAAAUCUUUUCUAAACUGCAAUUGUCGUUCGGGGUGUGAAAAGUUUUAGAACUAUUGGAAAUUGUUCACAUUUCCAGUAUUUGGAAGAUGUUAAUAUUAGUGAAUGAUAGUUGUUGCAGCUUCAUAUUUUGAUACAUAUUAUAUGGUGUGUGAAGAUGUGUCCACGGGUGGCUGUGUCCACGGGUGGCUGUGUCCACGGGUGGCUGUGUCCACGGGUGGCUGUGUCCACGGGUGGCUGUGUCCACAGGUGGCUGUGUCCACGGGUGGCUGUGUCCACGGGUGGCUGUGUCCACGGGUGGCUGUCUCCACGGGUGGCUGUCUCCACGCAGAUGUCUCCACCUGUGGAUGUCUCCACGUGUGGGUGUGUCCACGCGGAUGUCUCCACGUGUGGGUGUGUCCACGCGGAUGUCUCCACGUGUGGCUGUGUCCACGCGGAUGUCUCCACCUGUGGAUGUCUCCACGUGUGGCUGUGUCCACGCGGAUGUCUCCACGUGUGGCUGUGUCCACGCGGAUGUCUCCACGUGUGGCUGUGUCCACGCGGAUGUCUCCACCUGUGGAUGUCUGCACAUGUCCUGCUCUCAUCAACAUUGACUCACCUCCUCUAAAUCAUCAAUGGCAUUAUCACUGUUUUUAUUUUGUUUUAUUAUUUUUAAAGAUUUUUUUAAAGAAAACCACACACAGUGCGUAUACCCAACCUGUGGAGAAGAUUAUUGUGGAAGAAGAGAUGUCUCACACUUGCAUCUUUCUCCAAGACCUGUGACAGUCUUCUUUGUGACGGACUCUUGACUUGUAUUGGUGACAAGCACAGUCUGUUGUCAUUACUGAAUGUUACCGCACUCCUCUCACUCUCUCUCUCUCCUGACUUGUGCUCUAAGUGUGUCUGGUGACUACUGACUGUGGUCACAGUGUCUGGUGACUACUGACUGUGAUCACAGUGUGUCUGGUGACUACUGACUGUGGUCACAGUGUCUGGUGACUACUGACUGUGAUCACAGUGUGUCUGGUGACUACUGACUGUGGUCAGUGUGUCUGGUGACUACUGACUGUGGUCAGUGUGUCUGGUGACUACUGACUGUGGUCACAGUGUCUGGUGACUACUGACUGUGAUCACAGUGUCUGGUGACUACUGACUGUGGUCAGUGUGUCUGGUGACUACUGACUGUGGUCACAGUGUCUGGUGACUACUGACUGUGAUCACAGUGUCUGGUGACUACUGACUGUGGUCAGUGUGUCUGGUGACUACUGACUGUGAUCAGUGUGUCUGGUGACUACUGACUGUGGUCAGUGUGUCUGGUGACUACUGACUGUGGUCAGUGUGUCUGGUGACUACUGACUGUGAUCACGGUGUGUCUGGUGACUACUGUGAUCACAGUGUGUCUGGUGACUACUGUGAUCACGGUGUGUCUGGUGACUACUGACUGUGAUCACGGUGUGUCUGGUGACUACUGUGAUCACGGUGUGUCUGGUGACUACUGACUGUGAUCAGUGUGUCUGGUGACUACUGACUGUGGUCACAGUGUGUCUGGUGACUACUGACUGUGAUCAGUGUGUCUGGUGACUACUGACUGUAGUCACAGUGUGUCUGGUGACUACUGACUGUGGUCACAGUGUCUGGUGACUACUGACUGUGAUCAGUGUGUCUGGUGACUACUGACUGUGAUCACGGUGUGUCUGGUGACUACUGACUGUGGUCACAGUGUCUGGUGACUACUGACUGUGGUCACAGUGUGUCUGGUGACUACUGACUGUGGUCACAGUGUGUCUGGUGACUACUGACUGUGAUCACGGUGUGUCUGGUGACUACUGACUGUGGUCACAGUGUCUGGUGACUACUGACUGUGGUCACAGUGUGUCUGGUGACUACUGACUGUGGUCAGUGUGUCUGGUGACUACUGACUGUGGUCACGGUGUGUCUGGUGACUACUGACUGUGAUCACAGUGUGUCUGGUGACUACUGACUGUGGUCACAGUGUCUGGUGCCUACUGACUGUGGUCACGGUGUGUCUGGUGACUACUGACUGUGAUCACAGUGUGUCUGGUGACUACUGACUGUGGUCACAGUGUCUGGUGACUACUGACUGUGGUCAGUGUGUCUGGUGACUACUGACUGUGAUCACAGUGUGUCUGGUGACUACUGACUGUGGUCACAGUGUCUGGUGACUACUGACUGUGGUCACAGUGUCUGGUGACUACUGACUGUGAUCACAGUGUCUGGUGACUACUGACUGUGGUCACAGUGUGUCUGGUGACUACUGACUGUGGUCACAGUGUGUCUGGUGACUACUGACUGUGGUCACAGUGUCUGGUGACUACUGACUGUGAUCACAGUGUCUGGUGACUACUGACUGUGGACACAGUGUCUGGUGACUACUGACUGUGGUCACAGUGUCUGGUGACUACUGACUGUGGUCACAGUGUGUCUGGUGACUACUGACUGUGGUCAGUGUGUCUGGUGACUACUGACUGUGGUCACAGUGUCUGGUGACUACUGACUGUGGUUACAGUGUCUGGUGACUACUGACUGUGGUCACAGUGUCUGGUGACUACUGACUGUGGUCACAGUGUGUCUGGUGACUACUGACUGUGGUCACAGUGUGUCUGGUGACUACUGACUGUGGUCAGUGUGUCUGGUGACUACUGACUGUGAUCACGGUGUGUCUGGUGACUACUGACUGUGGUCACAGUGUCUGGUGACUACUGACUGUGGUCACAGUGUCUGGUGACUACUGACUGUGGUCACAGUGUCUGGUGACUACUGACUGUGGUCACAGUGUGUCUGGUGACUACUGACUGUGGUCACAGUGUCUGGUGACUACUGACUGUGGUCACAGUGUGUCUGGUGACUACUGACUGUGGUCACAGUGUGUCUGGUGACUACUGACUGUGGUCACAGUGUGUCUGGUGACUACUGACUGUGGUCACGGUGUGUCUGGUGACUACUGACUGUGGUCACGGUGUGUCUGGUGACUACUGACUGUGGUCACAGUGUCUGGUGACUACUGACUGUGGUCACAGUGUCUGGUGACUACUGACUGUGGUCACAGUGUGUCUGGUGACUAUUGACUGUGGUCACAGUGUGUCUGGUGACUACUGACUGUGGUCACAGUGUGUCUGGUGACUACUGACUGUGGUCACAGUGUGUCUGGUGACUACUGACUGUGGUCACAGUGUGUCUGGUGACUACUGACUGUGGUCACAGUGUCUGGUGACUACUGACUGUGGUCACAGUGUCUGGUGACUACUGACUGUGGUCACAGUGUCUGGUGACUACUGACUGUGGUCACAGUGUCUGGUGACUACUGACUGUGGUCACAGUGUCUGGUGACUACUGACUGUGGUCACAGUGUCUGGUGACUACUGACUGUGAUCACAGAGAAUGUCUCCGAGAUGACUGUCUCUUAGAGUGGGAUGCAAAGAAACUUAUCAUGAAUAUAUAUUAAAUAUAAUUAAUUUAUUUUGAGUAUCAAACUUUUGAUCAUGAAAGUAAGUUUUUGCUUUUUAAAAUAUGGCUUUGCUAAUUUGUUCUUCUAGAAACAUUGACUUGAAGCAAUAGGAAACAUAAUUGACAGUUAUGGCAAAUCUUGUAUUCAAGUGACUUUAUUGUUAGUCAUUUAUAAUAAUGAAUUAAUUAAACUUCAUGAACUAAGCCUAUCUAAUUUUGUUUAAUAUUGAUGUACACUAAUUCUGAAUAACGGUUAUUUUGUAUUAAUAAUAUGGUGUUACAAAUAGGAAAAUAAUGUAAGGAGUAAUGAACUUUGUAUAGGAACACCGAUUAAUAAGUUUUGUCCAUUUUCAUUAGGCGAAUCAUCGGAAGUAUUGUACAUUGUUUACAUGUUGACGGUUCAUUGUUACUUUGUGAAAAUGAUAACAUUGUCAUGAUUGGUUGUUUCCAUAAAACUUGUACUGAUCACCUCUUGAUCGUUUAAUUAAAUAGCAACAGUGUUAGUGAGGUAUAAUAAAGUGACAUAGCCUGGUAAUGAGAGUCUUGAGACUACAGGCGUUCUCUUCUCAGAGAGAAGGUACUUCAUCGCGAUUUAAUCUUACAAUUGUGUUAUUGAAAUACAUUGUUUCAUCACUUCGUGAAUUCUUGUUAUGAAUGAUUUGAAGAAAGAAAGUCUUAAAAAAAAUACAGUAAGCAGAAUUGGCUCAUAUACAGUAUAAAAGUAUAUAGAGCCCAUACAUAUUUGGAGAGUAUACACACGCACAGAGUUAUAUGACAGGGCACUGGGAACACGGGACACGACAAGUGUAGCUCUCAAUCUGUAAUUACACUUAAUUAUCUCCCUCACAUACACACACACACUCCACACACAUAUAUAGUGGCACUAUGGGCUCACCAUAGCCCAUGCUACUUGGAACUUUUUGUUCCAAGUAGCGAAUCUUAAACAACAACACACACAUAGGAGAGUACACAUACACGUUCACACACACAUGUGCGCUCUAUCUCACAGUGUACACUAAGCUAUGAUUGUUUUUUUUAUACAAAGUAAGAGUACCGUGUAGUAGGCACAAAGGCUGCCUCAUGUGCCCUGUAAGCCUGAACUUUAAGACUAUCAUAUUCUUGAAUUUUGUUUCGUGUGGAAUUUGUGAUUUUUUGUGGCUACAUCUUUUUACUUGAAAAAGAUGAAACUUGGACAUAUUGACAGGAGUUCACAUUUGCUAAUAAUAAAAUCAUUUAAGCCAGUAGCAUCUUGAGUAGAUAUUUUUUGUGUGCAGUAAAUAUACGUAUUGUUUUAUAAUUUCAUUGUUGCACGCACAUCAUUGUGUGACACACAUUUCAUCAUGUAUGUAUUAUUAUGUGUUACAUAUAUAUAUUUCAUAAUAUGUUACACAUAGUUCAAGUUCUUCUUAGUAAUGUUUGCCAGCCAUGUGUAAGAAGAAAACCAUUUGAUCAUAUGUUAGAUAUUUUUUUGAAAUUUGAAUUCUAAAUGUUGAACAGUAUUAAUUUUUAUAUUCACUAAUAUAUUAUGUUUAGCAUAAUAUGAUAUGUAUGUUGUAUAUUUUUUUGUAGAGGUGAUAUUAAAUUUUUUUAUGAAA
rnacentral:misc_RNA from 1 species